UGCAUAGAUCAAAUCUACAAAUUUUUUAAAAAUUUAAAAAUCAUUUGAUACUUUGUUUCAUUAAUUCAAAUCAAUGUAUAAAUGAUUUUAUGAUUAUCCGUCAAUUUUAAUUAAUGAAAUGAAGUAUCAAAUGAUUUUCAAAUUUUCUAAAAAUUUGUAGACUUUAUCUAUGCA
rnacentral:miRNA from 1 species